rnacentral:ncRNA from 1 species
UGCGUACGGAUUAAAAGGGAAUCGGGUGCAAAUCCCGGACAGUCCCGCUGCUGUGAUGCUCCGUGAACUUUCUGAAAAAGCACCAUCACCACUGGCCACUUGUUUGUCAUGGCCGGGAAGGUUUCAGAAAGGGGGCGAGUCAGAAGACCUGCCAUUCACUAAA